UACGAAGGGGGCUAGCGUUGUUCGGAUUUACUGGGCGUAAAGCGCACGUAGGCGGAUUGUUAAGUCGGGGGUGAAAUCCUGGAGCUCAACUCCAGAAUUGCCUUCGAUACUGGCUUUCUAGAGGCUGGAAGAGGUUAGUGGAAUUCCCAGUGUAGAGGUGAAAUUCGUAGAUAUUGGGAAGAACACCAGUGGCGAAGGCGGCUAACUGGUCCAGAUCUGACGCUGAGGUGCGAAAGCUAGGGGAGCGAACAGG
rnacentral:rRNA from 1 species